CCUANGGGUGGCAGCAGUGGGGAAUCUUGGACAAUGGGGGCAACCCUGAUCCAGCGACGCCGCGUGGGUGACGAAGGCCUUCGGGUUGUAAAGCCCUUUUCUCGGGGACGAUGAUGACGGUACCCGAGGAAUAAGCACCGGCUAACUCCGUGCCAGCAGCCGCGGUAAGACGGAGGGUGCUAGCGUUGUUCGGAUUUACUGGGCGUAAAGGGCGCGUAGGCGGCCUGAUCAGUCGGGUGUGAAAGCCCGGGGCUCAACCCCGGAACGGCACCCGAGACGGUCAGGCUGGAGACCGGGAGAGGAGGGUGGAAUAGCCAGUGUAGAGGUGAAAGUCGUAGAUAUUGGCUGGAACACCGGUGGCGAAAGCGGCUCUCUGGCCCGGUUCUGACGCUGAGGCGCGAAAGCGUGGGGAGCAAACAGGAUUAGAUACCCCUNUANUC
rnacentral:rRNA from 1 species